AAAGUCGUAACAAGGUUUCCGUAGGUGAACCUGCGGAAGGAUCAUUAAUGAAAGCUUCGGCUUCUUUGAUGCCUUGACCCUCAUGAUGACCUCGCUUUUGUUGCUUCCGUCGGAGUUGUUUUCGGCACUCCGGCGGAUGGCCUAAACAAACCAAUUUGUUAUUUUGUGUGCUUUGUGAAAUGUCUGAAGUCAUUUAUGCUUUAAAACUUUCAACAACGGAUCUCUUGGCUCCU
rnacentral:misc_RNA from 1 species